UGGUGCAUGGUUGUCGUCAGCUCGUGUCGUGAGAUGUUGGUUAAGUCCCGCAACGAGCGCAACCCUCGACCUUAGUUGCCAGCAUUCAGUUGGGCACUCUAAGGUGACUGCCGGCUAAAAGUCGGAGGAAGUGGGAUGACGUCAAAUCAUCAUGCCCCUUAUGACCUGGGCUACACACGUGCUACAAUGGGCGGUACAAAGGGUCGCGAACCCGCGAGGGGGAGCCAAUCCCAAAAAGCCGCUCUCAGUUCGGAUUGCAGGCUGCAACUCGCCUGCAUGAAGCCGGAAUCGCUAGUAAUCGCGGAUCAGCAUGCCGCGGUGAAUACGUUCCCGGGCCUU
rnacentral:rRNA from 1 species